GUAUAUUUCUAUUGCUAUUCGGCCAUUCUAUGUGGCUGCACAAUCGACAUCCUAUGUGGCAAACUUUUAAAUUUUAUUUUUAAACCAAAAGUAUAAUUAACGUGUUUUUCCCAAAAAGAGCCCAACUUUUCAUCUUUCCAAUACCAUAAAGAAUGGAUCUACAGAGUACAUUUCAAUCUCUCUCUCUCACCUUAUCCACCGUCGCACUCCGACGGCGGCACCACCGAAAAUUAAAGCCUCAUCUUCUCUGAUAACUUUUGCUAACUUCUUUAAAGAAUAUUGAAUUGAAAAAUUGGUUGCGUCAACCCAAAGGCUGAAUCUCUUUCUUUUUCUUAACUCACCCGUACUCCGACUACAACCACCACCGAUUGCAACUCAUGGGCAGAAGAUUUAUAGGUGCUCGAUUGUUUGAUUUGCCAAGUUUCUCCAAAAGAAGGCGUGGAUGAAUUUGUAAGUGCUGUACAUUCUUUUCUCUACCAGUUUUUUUUUUUUUUUUUAAUUGAUGGAUGCAUUCUUGAAAGUGUUUUUAGCAUUCUGUUUAUUCAUACUCGGGAAAUGGGUUUAAGCCACUUCUUAGGUUUUUUCUAAAUUUUGUUUGCCCAAUUUCUUCAGUCUCUGUUUAUUUUCUGAGUGCCGUGGAAAUGUAUCGUUAAUGGAUUGCACCAAUUCAAUUUGUAUUUUAUAGAAGUACAGAGAGAACCCUUAUCUAUAGAUUUGCACCAUUGGCAUUGCUAAAAAUUAUCUUGUCACUCUGCCAAAUUCAGGUUUUGAUAAUGUGUAUAUGGUUGCUGUAUGUGUUUAAAAUUCAAUGUCACAUGAAAGCACAUUUUCUUGAAUGCUAUGAUGCUGAAAUUUUCACAACCAUUGAUGUCAGACUUCUGUACCAUAUUAAAUUUUAAACAGAUAGACGCUGCUGCAAAUUAUGAAUGCUAUCGGUGAACGUUGCUGCAAAUUGAUCAAGAAUGCAUUACAUUUUGAACUACUUUUUUGUAGUUUCGCUUUGACCAAAUCAUUCAAUUCUAAAGGUUUGUCCUCUCUUAUGUGUACGAAUUCUUGAUAUUCUGUGGAAUUAAAGAGUGUAUAAUGCCUAUCUUCUCGUGUUUAUUAAGUCGACACCAUUCUGUGAAAUUAAACUGUAACAAUAACUAGUUAAAAAGUAAAACAAAAAACCAAUAAUAGAAAAGGGAUAGUUGGUAUUGAUUAUAAAAUUCUUGUUGAUGGAAUUAGUUUUUCUUCCAAUACAAAUUGAUCCCGGGAAUCAUUUUUAUUUGUCCUUGUAUAUUAUUUUAG
rnacentral:lncRNA from 1 species